UAGAGUACCUACUACACAGCUCUACUCUACAUGUGUCACUAUAGGGCCUAGGUGACAACUAUACAGUAGGCAACGGGAAAUGUAUAGAGUACCUACGUUGUAAGGGGACUAGUGGACAACUACACAGCUCUGCUCUACAUGUGUCACUAUAGGGCCUAGGUGACAACUAUACAGUAGGCAACGGGAAAUGUAUAGAGUACCUACGUUGUAAGGGGACUAGUGGACAACUACACAGCUCUGCUCUACAUGUGUCACUAUAGGGCCUAGGUGACAACUAUACAGUAGGCAACGGGAAAUGUAUAGAGUACCUACGUUGUAAGGGGACUAGUGGACAACUACACAGCUCUGCUCUACAUGUGUCACUAUAGGGCCUAGGUGACAACUAUACAGUAGGCAACGGGAAAUGUAUAGAGUACCUACGUUGUAAGGGGACUAGUGGACAACUACACAGCUCUGCUCUACAUGUGUCACUAUAGGGCCUAGGUGACAACUAUACAGUAGGCAACGGGAAAUGUAUAGAGUACCUACGUUGUAAGGGGACUAGUGGACAACUACACAGCUCUGCUCUACAUGUGUCACUAUAGGGCCUAGGUGACAGCUAUACAGUAGGCAAUGGGAAAUGUAUAGAGUACCUACGUUGUAAGGGGACUAGUGGACAACUACACAGCUCUGCUCUACAUGUGUCACUAUAGGGCCUAGGUGACAACUAUACAGUAGGCAACGGGAAAUGUAUAGAGUACCUACGUUGUAAGGGGACUAGUGGACAACUACACAGCUCUGCUCUACAUGUGUCACUAUAGGGCCUAGGUGACAACUAUACAGUAGGCAACGGGAAAUGUAUAGAGUACCUACGUUGUAAGGGGACUAGUGGACAACUACACAGCUCUGCUCUACAUGUGUCACUAUAGGGCCUAGGUGACAACUAUACAGUAGGCAACGGGAAAUGUAUAGAGUACCUACGUUGUAAGGGGACUAGUGGACAACUACACAGCUCUGCUCUACAUGUGUCACUAUAGGGCCUAGGUGACAACUAUACAGUAGGCAACGGGAAAUGUAUAGAGUACCUACGUUGUAAGGGGACUAGUGGACAACUACACAGCUCUGCUCUACAUGUGUCACUAUAGGGCCUAGGUGACAACUAUACAGUAGGCAACGGGAAAUGUAUAGAGUACCUACGUUGUAAGGGGACUAGUGGACAACUACACAGCUCUGCUCUACAUGUGUCACUAUAGGGCCUAGGUGACAACUAUACAGUAGGCAACGGGAAAUGUAUAGAGUACCUACGUUGUAAGGGGACUCCGUAAAUAGGACUAGUGGACAACUACACAGCUCUGCUCUACAUGUGUCACUAUAGGGCCCUAGGUGACAGCUAUACAGUAGCCUCUUCAGUCUGUACUUACACCUUGAAAACAGAAGCUACUGUGAACAGGGUUGACACAGGAAUGGGGUUGGGGUUAUUUAAUCCUUUAUUUAACCAGGUGGCCAGUUGAGAACAAGUUCUCAUUUACAACUGAGACCUGGCCAAGAUAAAGCAUUGCAG